GUGCUUGCUUUGACAGUACAUAUAUUAAAAUGAAACCAUACAGAAAAGAUUAGCAUGGCCCCUAUACAAAAAUGACUGUAAAUUCCUGAAGCAUUUUAUAUUCUU